rnacentral:rRNA from 1 species
GUGCAGCAGUCGAGAAUCUUCCACAAUGGGGGAAACCCUGAUGGAGCGACGCCGCGUGCGGGAUGAGGGGCCCUAUGGGUUGUAAACCGCUGUUCAGUGGAAAGAACAUCCUCCGGCUGAAUAGGUCGGAGGCCUGACGUUACCACUGCAGAAAGUCCCGGCAACUCCGUGCCAGCAGCCGCGGUAAUACGGGGGGACGAGCGUUGUCCGGAA